rnacentral:lncRNA from 10 species
CUGGAAGAUCCGAAGUCUUCUGUGUUCCUUUCCCACAGAGGGAAGCCGGCGAUGAUGGAAAAACUCACCUGGAAAAUGGGGUCAUAGAGUUCUUUCAUAAAGCUCUCAUGAGGACCAAAUAAGAAGCCUGCGGGAGGGGUCAUUUUUGAGCUUCCCGAACUUUGGCUUACCCUCAGCUUGAGCCAGCGCACAUCUCCUCCUUAACAGCCUCUCCUGAGAAUAGGCUGGCUUCAAGGAAUGGGGGAAGUGAAUGAUCUCAAACUACAGAAAUG